AUUGAACGCUGGCGGCAGGCCUAACACAUGCAAGUCGAGCGGAUGAAGGGAGCUUGCUCCUGGAUUCAGCGGCGGACGGGUGAGUAAUGCCUAGGAAUCUGCCUGGUAGUGGGGGAUAACGUCCGGAAACGGGCGCUAAUACCGCAUACGUCCUGAGGGAGAAAGUGGGGGAGCUUCGGACCUCACGCUAUCAGAUGAGCCUAGGUCGGAUUAGCUAGUUGGUGGGGUAAAGGCCUACCAAGGCGACGAUCCGUAACUGGUCUGAGAGGAUGAUCAGUCACACUGGAACUGAGACACGGUCCAGACUCCUACGGGAGGCAGCAGUGGGGAAUAUUGGACAAUAGGCGAAAGCCUGAUCCAGCCAUGCCGCGUGUGUGAAGAAGGUCUUCGGAUUGUAAAGCACUUUAAGUUGGGAGGAAGGGCAGUAAGUUAAUACCUUGCUGUUUUGACGUUACCAACAGAAUAAGCACCGGCUAACUUCGUG
rnacentral:rRNA from 1 species